GAUGAACGCUGGCGGCGUGCCUAAUACAUGCAAGUCGAGCGAACGGACGAGAAGCUUGCUUCUCUGAUGUUAGCGGCGGACGGGUGAGUAACACGUGGAUAGCCUACCUAUAAGACUGGGAUAACUUCGGGAAACCGGAGCUAAUACCGGAUGAUAUUUUGAACCGCAUGGUUCAAAAGUGAAAGACGGUCUUGCUGUCACUUAUAGCUGGAUCCGGGCUGCAUUAGCUAGUUGGUAAGGUAACGGCUUACCAAGGCCACGAUGCAUAGCCGACCUGAAAGGGUGAUCGGCCACACUGGAACUGAGACACGGUCCCGACUCCUACGGGAGGCAGCAGUAGGGAAUCUUCCGCAAUGGGCGAAAGCGUGACGGAGCAACGCCGCGUGAGUGAUGAAGGUCUGCGGAUCGUAAAACUCUGUUAUUAGGGAAGUACAUAUGUGUAAGUAACUGUGCAGAUCUUGACGGUACCUAAUAAGAGAGCCACGGCUAACUACGGG
rnacentral:rRNA from 1 species